GAUGAACGCUGGCGGCGUGCCUAAUACAUGCAAGUCGAGCGAACAGAUAAGGAGCUUGCUCCUUUGACGUUAGCGGCGGACGGGUGAGUAACACGUGGGUAACCUACCUAUAAGACUGGAAUAACUCCGGGAAACCGGGGCUAAUGCCGGAUAACAUUUAGAACCGCAUGGUUCUAAAGUGAAAGAUGGUUUUGCUAUCACUUAUAGAUGGACCCGCGCCGUAUUAGCUAGUUGGUAAGGUAACGGCUUACCAAGGCAACGAUACGUAGCCGACCUGAGAGGGUGAUCGGCCACACUGGAACUGAGACACGGUCCAGACUCCUACGGGAGGCAGCAGUAGGGAAUCUUCCGCAAUGGGCGAAAGCCUGACGGAGCAACGCCGCGUGAGUGAUGAAGGUCUUCGGAUCGUAAAACUCUGUUAUUAGGGAAGAACAAAUGUGUAAGUAACUGUGCACGUCUUGACGGUACCAAAUCAGAAAGCCACGGCUAACUACGUG
rnacentral:rRNA from 1 species